GACGAACGCUGGCGGCAUGCCUAACACAUGCAAGUCGAACGAGAACGUCGGGUCUUUGGGCGCACGUGUACGGAAGGAGGGGGGAGCUGCCCUUGGGUUCGGUAUAACUCCCCGAAGGGGAUGCUAAUACCGGAUGAUGUCUUCGGGCCAAAGAUGUCUGGCCUUGGGAUGGGGCCGCGUUGGAUUAGCCAGUUGGUAGGGGACAAGCCUACCAAGGGUGCGAUGCAUAGCUGGUCGGAGAGCAGGAUCAGCCACACUUGGACUGAGACACGGACCAGAAUCGUACGGGAGGCAGGAGUGGGGAAUAUUGGACGCGGGGCGAAAGCCUGACGCAGCCAUGUCGGGUAAGUGGGGAAGGCGUUAGGGUAGUAAAUCUGUUUGACCCGGGAUGAUAGUGACGGUACCGGGAGAAUAAGCUCCGGCUAACUACGUG
rnacentral:rRNA from 1 species